CAGGGAACAACCUGCUCAACCUGCUUCUACACCUGCCAGCAACAGCAACACGCCCUGAACUGCGUCCAGUUGCAGGCUGGGAAAGAGCCACACAGGACGGGAGAUGGAAACCAAUUGCUGGACAAGAGAAGGUUGCUUCACAGGUUGCCAGGUUAGAUCUGUGAAUUCCCCUAGUGGGUGGAGCCUGUGGCCAAAGGUCCUCUGAGGUCCUCCUUUUCUUUUUUUUUUUUUUGCUUUCUCACCAACGCACUGGAAACGGCUGCUGUCGUCAUGGCAACAGAAAGGAGGCUGGCUGACGGGGCUCGGGUUUCAUCCACGCCUUUGUCUCCGGUCUAUAUCAGGCUACCAAGUGACGUGUGACUUUGUGAACUCACAGCAGUGAUGCGGUGCUGCCGGUGCAGCUUCCACCACUAGAUGUCAGCAUCAACCAACACCUUCACCUGUGAUCUCAGAGCCCAGAUCCCUGAUGAGGACACGCUGACCCCUCACAGCAGCUCAGGGGUGUUUUUUCCAUUUGACCGCCGUCUGAAACACUGAGUGAAAAUAUUAUCAGGAAAUCAGAGCCUCAGACUUGGGGUCAGUGUUCCAGGGCGGUGCAGAGAUGCAGCAGAGGAGCCGAGUGACGGAGCUAUAAUAUGUGCAGCUGCACCACCAAGGACUUUAUGUACAAAUGAAAUAAAGGAGAUGUUUGUGUCGUGACUGUGACUGUAUCAGUGAAGAGGGCAAGAAAGAUAUGUGAAAACAAACCUGCAGUGAAGGGUGAAGGCAGGAAAAUGAUCAUUUCAAGACUUUGAAAUUUAAAAUAUUCAAUGACAGUAAAAAUUAUGUAUCAGAAAAAGCUAAUUCGCCAAAAUUUAAGUGAUUAAGCACAAAAUCAUGUUUCUUUGUGAAAGCCAGGUUCAAAAUGGCUUCAUUAUUGUGCUGCAGUCGGUCACAUAACAGUCAUUUGACUGUUAAAACAUACGGAUAUUGCAACAUGACGACUUUAUCAACCAUUUGAUCAUGUGGUCAGUUACAGGUGACUAAUGUGUGUAAACCUGUCUCCGUGGUUACACAGGUGCGCUCCGGUAGCACUGCACGCCUUGUUGAGAAUGUAUAUUAAUGGUUUUUCAACACAGAUGUGGUGGUGGUGGGGAAUGUGUGUGUGUGUGUGUGUGUGUGUGUGUGUGCGUGUGCGUGUGCGUGUGCGUGUGCGUGUGCGUGUGUGUGUGUGUGUGUGUGUGUGUGUGUGUGUGUGUGUGUGUGUGUGUGUGUGUGUGUGUGUGUGUGUGUGUGUGUGUGUGUGUGCGUGUGUGUGUGUGUGUGCGUGUGUGUGUGUGUGUGGUUAGUGAACGCAGCCCCAGGCCAGACUCCCUAAUCAGAGCCAGGUUAUUCAAGGCACCUGUUGGCCUGUGCUCAUUCUCUUCCUGGUUCCUGUCCCUUGAUGUGACUGGCAGCAUUUGGAUGCAGGCAUGUAGUUACAACCAUUUCACAUUCACAAGCCUUUACACCACUUAUCUAGUCCGUGCCUCUGUUUUAGCUCCAAACCCCGUUGACCUGCCCACAUUUAUUUUUAUUUGGCUGCUGUUUUGUAGUUGGAUUUGUUCCUGUGAGCUUUGUUUGGCCUCAUGGUUCUAUCUUGUUUUGUUUGCUUAUAUUCAGUCACCCCCGUUGUUUAUUUGUUUUGCAUGACUUUUUUUUUGGUUUUUCUGCAGUGAAGCUGAGCGCUGUGUUGGAGCGGAGGCCAGGCGCCGCCGCUGAGGUCCCUACACUUGAUGCAUUAGAUAAAAAACACUGGGACUCCGAUGUUUGCAGCACGUUUGCUGUGAGGUUUGUUGUGCCUCUGCACCUCCUCAUGUACUCUGCCUCUCCACAACUGACUUCAGCUCAGGUCUCCCAAUUUUGUGUAGGCUUUAGGUUUUAGGUUGGACCGCCAUUUUGGAUAUUUCAGCAUUUAUAAACACUUGUACAGCAGCCUCUGUUUUAAUCUAUAAAACUUUUAUCCCACUCUUGGGAUUUCUUUUUCAGCAAUUCCACCUUUAGCAUCACAAAUGACACUCAACUAAUUUUUAUAUGUUAAAGAUAAUGUCAAUAAUUGCUUGUUCACAGAUCUGGCUAUAUAAUACAAAUCCAUUAUUCACUGUAUAUGUAAUUGCUUUUUGAUUUCCACACAGUUUCCUGCCCCCUGGUCACAGAUCUCUUGAUAGAUUCUGUUUGUUAGUGUUUGGGAUGACUCCGAGAACAAGACGAUGCUAUAGUGUUAUAAAUAGUGCGUGACUGAAGUGGCAGUGUGUGUCCUGAGCAGCACGGUUCUGCCAGCUCCUCCUGUGACGGCAUGUAGCAGCGCCUCUUCGUGCAGCGGCUUCACUGCCUCGCGUUUCUAAACACGAACGCUCGCUUCAAUUCUCCAAGUGUCUCCAGGAAAAUUACAGAGUGUUUAGAUCACUCCAGAAACCUGCAGCGUCCCAGAUCCAGAACCCAGCGAGACACAUUUGACUUUGUUUACCGAAACUGAAUACAGGAAGACUUGAGAAAGACUUUUGUUAACUAGUGUUUGAAUCACAACCUUUUCGGUGAAGCGCCAAAAACUGAGGCCUUCCACAGAAAUGACCUCACCAUCCAGUCAUGAGCUGAAACUGUCUGCCGCCCUAAGCUCCAGACAGAUAAAGGAAGCAGGCACAGAAAUAGCACAUCACACACGAGGAACAUCAGACCUUUUGAGAAACUGUCUUGAAAAAAAAGAUGCACAAAGGAAUUCAUUGGAUUUAAUUCCAUUGUUGCUUUGACAGUUCUUGGACGCUCGGUGUGUCCAAUCUGUGCUGGAAACGCUUCACUUGGAAGAGCUCCUUGAUCUAAUCUGUGAGGUUUUUUCAGUCCUCACAGACAAAUUCCUCUGUGCAACAAAACAUUUAAACUCAAGUACAAUUAAACCAGUUUCUGUUUCUAGGAGAUAAUCUGCUAAAUCAGCGUGUAAAAAACAAAUAAUAAUAAUAAUAAAUACAUUGCAUUUUUUUGACUGCUCUGCAGUUUGGUUUGCAAAAAGCCACCACCACCUUCCUCCUGCUGCCUAGAAUUACACGGUCUGUAAUUUAUGUUGAAGGUGACUAUUUUCUCCUGAUUCUUUUUGCACCUGAAGAUUUUUGCUAGUUUGUGCAUUUUUGUCCUCUGAGAUGUGAGUGUUUCUCUUGGCUAUAUGCAUCUGGAUUCAAUAACACAAACGCUCUCACAUCUCUUGGUUUGCAAAAAAAGGUACAUUUUGUUGCAAUGUUGCAACAUUACAUUAAUUAAUAUUAUAAUUCUAUGUAUAAUGUGUCAUAGCUGCACAUGCAAAUCUGGAUAGAAGCCCUCAAUCACUGUCUUUCA